rnacentral:rRNA from 1 species
AUUGAACGCUGGCGGCAUGCUUUACACAUGCAAGUCGAACGGCAGCGCGGGCUUCGGCCUGGCGGCGAGUGGCGAACGGGUGAGUAAUGCAUCGGAACGUGCCCAGUAGUGGGGGAUAGCCCGGCGAAAGCCGGAUUAAUACCGCAUACGACCUGAGGGUGAAAGCGGGGGACCGAAAGGCCUCGCGCUAUUGGAGCGGCCGAUGUCGGAUUAGCUAGUUGGUGGGGUAAAGGCUUACCAAGGCGACGAUCCGUAGCUGGUCUGAGAGGACGACCAGCCGAGCGGUGACGGGGACCAUGCCUGACUGCAUCGGGCGGGAGGGAGGGUGGAACUGGGGACAAUGCGGCCACCCUGCCGCCAGCCUUGCCGUGUGCGGGAAGAAGGCCGUGGGGUUGUAAACCGCUGUGGGCAGAGAAACGCGGCUGUGGGCUAAUAGCCGGGGGGGAUGACGGUACCGGAAGAAAAAGCACCGGCAACAUACGUGCCAGCAGCACCGCUGCGCGAUGAGCCGACGUCUGAAC